rnacentral:rRNA from 1 species
UACGAAGGGGGCUAGCGUUGCUCGGAAUCACUGGGCGUAAAGCGCACGUAGGCGGAUUGUUAAGUCAGGGGUGAAAUCCUGGAGCUCAACUUCAGAACUGCCUUUGAUACUGGCGAUCUCGAGUUCGGGAGAGGUGAGUGGAACUGCGAGUGUAGAGGUGAAAUUCGUAGAUAUUCGCAAGAACACCAGUGGCGAAGGCGGCUCACUGGCGCGAUACUGACGCUGAGGUGCGAAAGCGUGGGGAGCAAACAGG